rnacentral:lncRNA from 1 species
UGGCGUUUCUCUCGCUUGACACUCCGUGUAUAGAUGUUCUGUAUAAGUUUGUUAUGAAUCCACCUUUCUCAUGUAUGGACAGUGAGAAGUACAUGAACAACUAGUUUCCUAAGAUGACUUUUAUAUUAUGAAUUAAUAUGAAAUUUACAGGUCAUGUGCACCUUAAGUGCAGAAUCAAAACUUCCUAUAGGUCCACAUAAGCAGUUCUCAGUGAACCGGGCCUUCAGUUUACCUCAAGUGACAUGUAGUAAGGAAAGCCCGGGAACAUGGAGGUCACUCUCUGCAGCACAGUGCACUUAGUAGCAUGUUGCUGAAUCUCAGUUACAGAAAAUGGAUAUUUAAAGGAACACACUGGAAGGAUGCAAGGGAUUGAGGGACUGCUGAUAUUUUCGUUGUUGCUGUUGCUUUGUGCUUUUCAAAAAGUUGUUCAAAUUAUGGAACUGUGAUCUAAAAACGGUUUGACAGUGGAGCACCAGAGAGGAUGUCCACCACUCACUUGCCCUUCGGUACGACUAAGCUCUGAGUUUGCGUCUUCAACUCUACCUUCCUCUCCCCUCCUCAUCCCUACUCUGUCUGUGGCCCUCCUCUCGGUGUCAUUUCCUCUUGGUGGCUCUCUUGACACUCCUACUAGUUAGGAGGUCAACUCUGAACUUCUGACUCAUUAAAUCUUAAUUUUUGUCUCAGUGGUUUUAGUUAGCUGUGUAGUCUGCUGGCGUAUUUUUAUACCCACGUGUAGUUUUAUAUUUUUAAAGCGUGGUUGAGUUGACAUGGUGCACUCCGUAGUCCUUAUUUUGCUUCACUCUCAAGUAGGAGGCACCUAACGUGACUCCAGAAAUUCUGUAAUCAGAGUAUCCGUCUGGCUCCUUUGUGCUUGGAUUUUGAUUUGUUUGGCUUUCUUCUUAAAUACAAAUCAUACAAGAGUAGACUUUCCCCCCACCAUAGAGGAUAAAAAUGUAAAGCAAAGAGUCUUAACUUUCUCCCAACCGGGGGGCGGGGCGAGUGCUGUCCCACUUCUGCAGUGAUGUUCCAGGCUCAGAGGGGUCUCCAGACCCCAGGCUUGCCUGUCAUCGGGUCUCUUCGACCCUGUUAUUUGCAGCUUUGGGAUGGUUUCUUUUGCUAUGGAGUUUAACAGCUCUUCUUUUUUCCAUAAAAGUGCAAUACCCCUCUUGAAGUCUUAAAAACUAUGGUAAUUUUCUUCUUUUCUUUCUCUGACAUUUGUCUCAUUAGCCAAUGAUGAAAAGAAAUCUUUGGAAAUUCUAACAUGUCAUAGGACAUAGGCAAAUAUGGAAACCACUCUGCUAUGAAAAGUUGAAAAAAAAAACGUAUUAACAAACGACUCCUCUGACUUUCUAGAAACUUCGUUUAGACUAAAUUUUCUUUGAAAUCAUGAAUGAAAGUUUAUCCUGAGGCUGAAAUAUAAUUUUUCUCCCACUCUUGUCUAAUGCUCUUAAGUUAAAUAACUAAUAUUUAAUGUUUUCAUUUCUCUCAUUUUGGAAAAUAAAUAUCAAAGCACUUAGGUCAGGUUUAAAUCAAUAUUACCUGUUGGAAAAAAAUUUUUUUACAUAUUUAAAGCAGACCUGUUUCAAUGCAGAUGGAGAAGUAUCUUUUGUAUUAUUCAUAUUUAUAUGUAGUGUGUUCUUUUCUUUUUUUAAUACCUGUGUUUCUGUAGUAAGACUGCUGUAAUGUAAAUACACGUUUUAUUAAAAAGUAACAUUUCUUUGGCAUUUCUUUUGAUGGCACAUACUGUAUUUUUACAGUAUAUGUCUUGGCUACUUAACUUUUUUUUCUUUAAUAAUACCAAAGGUAAUUAGACUAUUUUAAGGACUAAUUGCUUGACAGUUUCUAGACUACUUUGAUUUUUUUAGAAGAAAAAAGAAAAAAGGAUAAAAAAAAGUCAAACCAGUGAACCUCAUUUUUUCAAACUAAUAAUUUGGGGAAAUAAAAACUAUUGUUUAAAAAGAAAUAUAUAUAAAUAUAUAUAUAAAUAUCUGUAAAAUUAAAAUCCCAGACCUUGUAUGUCAGGUUUGCUCAGUGUAAUGUAGGGUUUUUUUUUGUUUUGUUUUUGUUUUUGUUUUUAAAGGCUCAAAUACCUCAGAAAAUGGGGUUUACUAUGGAAAUACUGCGACAGUCUCUGCAGCUGUGUGAGCUGUCAUUCUGCUGCAUACUGAUUGGGAGACCUCCACUAAACAGUUUUAUCACUGCAGACUAAAAUGUGGGACUUGUAUUUUCUUUGUUUUUAAUGCACACACGUGCAUGCUCUGUGCGUGUAUGUGGGUACCGUGUAUAUGUGUGUGAGUGUUGUAUAUGCAUGUGUGAAUGUGUGUGUGUGUGCGUGCUUGUGUGUGUGUGUGCGUGCUUGUGUGUGUGUGUGUGUGUGUGUGUGUGUGUACAACUGAAGAAGCUGCAAAAACUUUGUAAUACUUUGUGAAAGGGUUAUAUUAUAAAGGUUUGUACUGUCUGAGUGCACAGCUACUGGAAUAAACUUAGCCAAUCUCAGGAACAAGCAUAUAAUUUGUCCAAGAUUUAUUUCUUCUCAGAAGUGUAAGUGCAGUUUUUAAUUCUGUAUAUUAUUUAAUAUUUUACCAAUAAAAUAAACUUCUGACAGAAAUUAUUUGGU